GUGCUGCCUUGGCAAAGCCCUCUGGGGGUGUUUGCAUGGAUUGGCUGUGGAUAAACACCAGGUCUGGGCCAGAUCAAAGCCAGGCUCUCUCCUCACCCCUGCAGCAACAGCCACUCCAACAUCUGAGGAGGAGCACGGGAGGAAGGCAAGGAUGGAUCUGAUGGGAGGAGGGGAUGGUGCCAGUGGAGCAGAGUGCAGAGCAUCCCGUGGUGGGGGUGUCCUGUUAGAACGAGGGAGGGAAAUGAUCCAGAAUGAUCUAUAAAUCACCCUUAUGAUUGGAAUUGGGCCCAGUCUCAUUGAAUAUUCCCAUCACAGCCAUUCCAGAGAAAUCCUGGUGGGGCUGACACUGGUGGGGCAAUGCUGGAGACACUGCUGGGAUCCACUCUGGGAAGGGAGAACUUGGGCCAGAGCAGGGGAAAUGGAGUUAAAUAAAUGGCUGAAAUGGGCUUAAAUCAAUGGCAGAAAGAGCAAAGUUCACCCAAAGACUAACCCAAAGUCCUUGGCCAGGCUGAGGACCAUGACCAGGUCCUAAGAGGGCAGAGGGAAGGUGUGGGAGGGGUUUGGAGGGUCUGGAGUGAUGCAGCCAUGAGAAAGGGAUGUGAGAUAAGAAGGAAUUCCUCCCUGAGAGGAAUGGGGAGGCCCUGGAAUGGAAUUCCUGGAGCAGCUGUGGCUGCCCCAUCCCUGGAAGUGGCCAGCGCCAGGUUGGACAGGGCUUGGAGCAGCCUGGGAGAGUGGGAGGUGUCCCUGCCCACGGCAGGGGUGGGACUGGGUGGGGUUUGAGGUCCCUUCCCAUCCAACCCAUUCCAUGAUUCUGAUUCUUCACACCUGGAACACACUGGGUGUGAAAUCUUCCCUUAGUGUGUUCCAGGUGAUCCGAGCCUCCAAGGGGAACAGGACCAGAUGAAAGAAGGGAAGACCAGGGAGAGAGAGGAAGGACAACCCUGGCCCAACAAUCAGCAGAACCUGUCACGUGUGGCAGUCACGGCUCAGAGUCAGCGCUCCUGCUCCUGCUCCUGCUCCUGUGUGUGAACCCAGAGGCGAGCGGGGCCCCAGGAUGGGAGCAGAGUGCAGCAGCAAUGAGGCAUCAGGUGGAACCUCCACGCCCAGGACUCUGCAUUAAUGACAGGACCAUUGUGAACAUGCUGAGUGAUGUGGCAUCAUCUGGAGGAGCAUUUUCCUACCCACUCAUGGAUUGCUGUGGGAGGAGAUUCAGCAGGAGGAGGAAGAGGAGGAGGAGGAGGUGGAGGCACCUGCCUGGGCCAGUCACCUUGGGAACAGACAUCAGGAACUACCACAGCUCUGCCUCCAGUCAGGCUCUUUGUAGAUGAAAACAAUAAAAUCAUGGAAUCUCCUGAGCUGGAAAGGACCCACAAGGAUCCUCAAAAUCUCCCUGGCCCUGCUCAGGACAACCACCACCAAUCCCACCCUGUGCCGGAGAGCAUUGCCAAAAUGCUCCUGGAGCUCUGGCAGGCUCAGAGCCAUGGCCAUUCCCUGGGGAGCCAGGGAGUGUUCCCAAAGGUGUACCUAGAUCCAGGAACCAGGAAAGUUCCCCAGGACUGGCAACAGCUCCACUCUCCAUUGGUUUUGUUCCCUGUGCCAAGUCAUGUCAACAGACCUCACACCCUGAUCCUGUUGCAACGCUCCCAGUUUGAAGUUUGGAAAAGCCAAUUAAGCACCCGGCAGCCCCACCUCCUUCUAAUCUCUCCAUUUCUCCCCCAGCUGGGAGCUGGCAUGGAAAUUCCCGGAAUUUGUCUGGCUUGGUGAGUUUCGAGGAAUAUUGGAAGUGUGGGGGCCUCAUCCAACCCGACC